AGGUUGUGAUAUGGACACUUGAGACCCAACUCAUUGAAGUGCCCCCAUGCUUCAAAGAAAAGGUCUCUAUCUCUUUGUUGAAAUGUUUGAAUCUUCCUUCCAAGUUG